UACGUAGGGGGCUAGCGUUGUCCGGAAUCAUUGGGCGUAAAGAGCGCGUAGGCGGCCAGAUAAGUCCGGUGUGAAAGUCACAGGCUCAACCUGUGAAUGCCGCUGGAAACUGUCUGGCUAGAGUCCGGGAGGGGCGAGUGGAAUUCCUGGUGUAGCGGUGAAAUGCGCAGAUAUCAGGAGGAACACCAAUGGCGAAGGCAGCUCGCUGGAACGGUACUGACGCUGAGGAGCGAAAGCGUGGGUAGCAAACAGG
rnacentral:rRNA from 1 species